UUUAGGUUUUACUUCCAGAUUAAACCUCCAACAACAAAAAUUCAUAACUCACUCAAUACUUGACCAAAUCGAGUGAAAUUUGUGGCAAACUCUUUGUUUUUAAAUUCUUUACAACUCAUCUGAAGUUAUGAAAACCUAAAAGCGAUGGAUUUUUCCAAAAUUUCCUAAAAACAGAGACUGCUCCCAAUUCUGAUUCCUCUUCUUUGGUUCAAACAGGGAACUUCUCCAAAUUCGUGUAUAAAACCAGUGGGGAUGAAGGGUCAGAGAAGGAAUCAAGCGGUAGCACGACCACAGCUGAUCGUGCUGAACUUGGUUGAGGAAACAAGUUCAGAAAUCUAAUGUGGGGAAGCCAGGCUACGGCUUUCAUUAGUUGGAUUGAAUGAUGGGUAGACAAACUUCAUGCAUAGUUUAACAUCUAAUUUAGAUUUUUAGAAGCAUGCCUACUAGAUCACUCUGAUGGAGUAGUUUGGCUCUCCAUCUCAACUUUUCAAGAUAAAGAUUUUAAUCAAGCUAGUUAUUGUUGCUGUUUUUUUUUUAUAUAGGAGUUAAUUUUGCUAUUCUGUGGAACUAUUGGUUGCAAAAAAACGAAUGAAUACAUUCUAACGUCUCUCUUUA